GGGUUGUGAGGUUAAGCGACUAAGCGUACACGGUGGAUGCCCUGGCAGUCAGAGGCGAUGAAGGACGUGCUAAUCUGCGAUAAGCGUCGGUGAGGUGAUAUGAACCGUUAUAACCGGCGAUUUCCGAAUGGGGAAACCCAGUGUGUUUCGACACACUAUCAUUAACUGAAUCCAUAGGUUAAUGAGGCGAACCGGGGGAACUGAAACAUCUAAGUACCCCGAGGAAAAGAAAUCAACCGAGAUUCCCCCAGUAGCGGCGAGCGAACGGGGAGGAGCCCAGAGCCUGAAUCAGUGUGUGUGUUAGUGGAAGCGUCUGGAAAGGCGCGCGAUACAGGGUGACAGCCCCGUACACAAAAAUGCACAUAUUGUGAGCUCGAUGAGUAGGGCGGGACACGUGGUAUCCUGUCUGAAUAUGGGGGGACCAUCCUCCAAGGCUAAAUACUCCUGACUGACCGAUAGUGAACCAGUAC
rnacentral:rRNA from 1 species